rnacentral:rRNA from 1 species
CCUACGGGAGGCAGCAGUAGGGAAUAUUGCACAAUGGGGGGAACCCUGAUGCAGCAACGCCGCGUGGGUGAAGAAGUACUUCGGUAUGUAAAGCCCUGUCAGCAGGGAAGAAAAUGACGGUACCUGACCAAUAAGCCCCGGCUAACUACGUGCCAGCAGCCGCGGUAAUACGUAAGGGGCAAGCUUUAUCCGGAUUUACUGGGUGUAAAGGGUGCGUUGACGGAAAUGCAAGUCUGGUGUGAAAGCCGGUGGUGAAACCACGGGACUGCUUUGGAAACUGUGUUGCUGGAGUGCAGGAGGGGUAAGCGGAAUUACUAGUGUAGCGGUGAAAUGCGUAGAUAUUAGGAGGAACACCGGUGGCGAAGGCGGCUUACUGGACUGUAACUGACGUUGAGGCUCGAAGGCGUGGGGAGCAAACAGGAUUAGAUACCCCUGUAGUG